AGGCUUUGAUCCUGGCUCAGGAUGAACGCUGGCGGCGUGCCUAACACAUACAAGUCGAGCGGAACUUAAAGCUUGCUUUAAGUUUAGCGGCGGACGGGUAAGGAACACGUGGAUAAUCUGCCUGUUACUUCGGGACAACAAUUAGAAAUGAUUGCUAAUACCGAAUAAGCUUACACUUUUGCAUGAAAGAGUAAGAAAAGAUUUAUCGGUAACAGAGGAGUCCGCGUCUGAUUAGCUAGUUGGUGAGGUAAUGGCUCACCAAGGCUACGAUCAGUAGCCGACCUGAGAGGGUAAUCGGCCACAUUGGGACUGAGACACGGCCCAAACUCCUACGGGAGGCAGCAGUGGGGAAUAUUGCACAAUGGGGGAAACCCUGAUGCAGCAACGCCGCGUGAAGGAUGAAUGUCUUCGGAUUGUAAACUUCUAUCAGCAGGGACGAAUAAAUGACGGUACCUACUAAGAAGCCCCGGGUAAUACGUGCA
rnacentral:rRNA from 2 species